ensembl:lncRNA
GUGGAGGCAUUUAUCUGAACCCACGUGCCUGUUGUGGUGGACUCUGAUCCCUAACAACACGUUUGUGUGGGAGAAACCAAUGACUAGUGUCAGAGGAAGGCUUCCGUUACCUGUAAACACAGGCAGCUGAGGCAUGCCCAAGCCCUGCCCUGGUAUCGGCUGCUGCAGGGAAGCUCUCGGUGGACAGCUCGCUGCCGACCUCCGGCUCUGAGUUGCCGGACGCCAUGAGACGCCUGGGCCCCGGCUCAGAGGACUGUUCUCGCCUCACUGCUGCUCUCUCCUGUCUGAAGAGCGCUAACAACGCAGGUGAUCCGGGUCCUGACUCAGGCUUUUGCAGCUCAGAGGCUCGACAGGACACUGAUGUCUUCUCUCCCAUCAGCUCCCCUUCCAGCGGGGUUAGCCCGUCCCUCCCGCUGCAGCACACCAUUACCACCACCCACGGCCGCUCCAUCUCCAUAUCGGUCUUCCCUUGUCCAGAGGACCGGAGAGCUUGCACCAGCUCGCCCUCCCCCACGCCCCCCCCACCCACACACAAGCGGCUACAGCUCUUUCCCAACAUAAUGACAAGAAGCAAGAGUCAAGAGUCCCAGCUAGCAAACCGCAUCGAGGAGCCGGCAGCACUCAGAGCCGGUAAGAAGAACAAAGUGCUGAGUGCUCUUCCGAUUAAUAACUGUGGUAACGGUCCUGAAGACUCAGCGCUGCGCUCCCCACUGCUGUCUGCCCGAACCCCUGGCCCCGUCCCGGCCUCGGCCCCGUACAUGAUGCCUGCCACACCCACCCUGCUGGAGAAUGUGACCAGGGGUUCCCCUCAGACGAUGAGGAGAGAUGUCGGCCUGGCUGUAACACACAGGUCAGUUACUGUCAACCCUUUACACCUCCUUUCUUGUUCAGAGGAAAAACUAUUAGUGUUGGAGAUGCAUUAAAAAAGAAUUGUAAUCUAUGUUCAUUUCUUUUAAGUUUAAUUAACAUUUCAGUUUUCAUUUAAACCAAUGCAUUUAUUUUUUCUAUUUUCUUUUGCAAAGUUAGUAAAUCCCUGUUGAAUUAUAAGUGAAUGAUGUAAGUCUCUAUACAGUGAGGCAUACAGCUUAUUAAAGAGACACUGCUAUCAGAUCGGUACUUGAUUCUAAAGGCUUCUUAUGGAAUGGUCGGAUCCCUGCAUUUCUUAUUUCUAUAACUUAUUUGGGGUUUAGGUCCAAAACGUGAUAUGGGAUGUUCGGGUUAAAUAUCUGUCCUUUUUACUGAAUCAUUACCUAUGAUUCAUUACCUAUGAUUCAGUAAAACUGGAAUGGGAUGUUCGGGUUAAAUAUCUGUCCUUUUUACUGAAUCAUUACCUAUNNNNNNNNNNCUUCUCCAUCACAUGUGCAGAUCAUUUGUUUAUGACUGUAAAUGUGGAUUUCUGCCUAUAACAAGGUUACCCUAUUACUUCCAUUUUAUUCACAUUAUUUCCUUCGAGAAACUUUUACAUUCCCAGAAUUUUGCAAACUUUUGAAAGAGGUUAGUGCACAUCUAUGGAGCCCACGCACAUGCAAGUGGGUUCAGGACUACAUUGUAGCUGCGCAUCCUCCUAAAUCUAGCUAGACUCAGGGCUCUAGAGUGCGACCAAAAUUUGUACGGGUGCGACUAAAAUGUUUCCUAGGCCGCACCGGGGCACCUGUCCUUGCAUUCGCUGCCUCUAUGAACGAACGAAGAGUUUGUUCUGCUUUGACGGAACUCACGCAUGGUUGGGUCAUAUCGUGGUCUAAACCAAUCGGAGACAGAGAUGCGGUGGGUCUUUGCCUCUGAUUGGCUGUUGUCCAGAUAUUCCUGUAGGCCUACACUGCUCCGUGCUGUGUAAUUGAAAUUGCGACCUGAACAACAGCGAACCAGUUACAUCAGAGCUGAGACGAGGACCGAGCCGCUCCGUCUCUCCAUGCAGCCGCGGAGAGCGUCGCCCUGCCGGCGGUCGAAGCCCCACGUUAAGGCUGGCGCAUGCUUCUGCGUAUUUACGCACCGUUGUGUCGACGCACUCGUUUCAAAUCAUGGUUCUAAAAGGCUUGCGUGUGUUGCAGAGCAAUUCACCGCCAGAACAAUAGGUGGAGUAACGUGUUUUUGUCGAAGACGACCUAGAGAGUCACGUCUUUGUGUGUGGAAGUCACAACUUUGUUCUCCUCGACCGGCAAACCAACGCCUUCUUGUGUUUAACUGAGCUUCAAUGACCUAGAAGAAACCAACACUCUGAAUAUAAUUCCACUUUAUAGUUAAUCAAAAUGAAUAAGAGUCAGAUUGAAUGUUAAAAGAGGACCCAUUUUAGCACAAAGGCAUCAACUUAGCAUAAAACAGGACACGAUGAAGAUAGUCUAAUAGCCAGAUGGCAUGAAUACGUAGUUACCACUCUGACAACAGAACGAUCUGGCGCUGAAUGGCAGGAAGACCCGGGUUGAUGUAGGAGAGUCCCCUGAUGGCCUGUUUCAUGUUUCAUGUGGUUAAUUUUUUAACAACCAGGAUAACUGCACAUCUAAUUAAUCCCAUCAAUUAUACAUUUUGUCCCAGCCUUUCCACAAAAAAUCUGAAUGGUUAAUAUACCCAUGUUACCCAUGUUAACUUCCCCACGGUAUAUUUCUGUUA